AGAAUCUCCGUCCGAGCAGAACCGCUCCGGGUGUCCUCGCGAAAAGGUCCGGAUCAGUUCGGUGAAGUGCGCUCACGCCCUUGCCGGGGCGGGAGCGCUGUACUGUCCGGCGUCUGGGAGUUACCGCUCUCAGACGCCGACG
rnacentral:ncRNA from 1 species